CAAGGUGCAAUGAGAGCCAUGUUUCCCUGGGAGGCCAGAGGCAUCUUGGGGGUUCCAGGAGCUCCAGUGCAAGAGUAAAACUAGAAAAAUAUGAUUGAUUGUGAUCUAUGCUGAUUUACCAUCAAGAAAACAUGGUUGUGCCACCAAACUAGAAGGAAGGAAUGGCACAACAUUGAAAUAGAAGCUGGAAGCCACCAUAUCCAGGUAGACAACCACCUGGAAGCGGUCAUAACAGCAGCAACAGAAAAUCAAUUUUGAAUGCAAGCUCCAGGGGGCAGCAUUUUUGCUUUUCUCAUCACUGUAUUGCCAGUGCCCAGGACCAUGCCUGGAACUUACAAAUGAGGAAAUGGAGAAGUGGGGUGACUUUCCCAAGAUCACAGGAUUUGAAUGUGGCAGAACUACAAUACAAACUCAGAUUCUUGGAGGACAGAUACAAAAGGUGGAGAUGCUUGGCUGCAGCAAAAUUGAAUCAUAUUUGAUGCAUGGUUUGAAACUGUAAGAGAUUUCAAGGAUUCCAGUAUAUUCUUGCAGGAGGUAUACUUCAAGGGCAGGGAAAAUGGGAGUCUGUGUCUUGUUUUUACAUUUUAAGUCCAUUCCAAUAUAAGACAACUAUUAUUUUGAGAGUAGGAGCAAUUGUUCAAUUACAUGUUACAACCUGCAAAUGAUUAACGUUAUUGGAGGUUUUUCACUUUUGUGAGAAGGUAUUAGGGAGAUAGCUUCUAGAAAACCUAUUGAAUAAAUAAAUAUUUCCUGGCAGAUGUUGCUUUUCUGCCCCCAGCCAAUACAAAUUGCAAAGCACAGAGCUUAGAGGUUGCCUGUAAUGAUAUUAAUUAAUGUCAUGAAGCUUCAUCUAUGAGUGUCAAUGGUGUGAUAAACUACUAUUUAUGUGAUGCAAAGUGGUGAAAAAUGGGUCAAAAGAACAAUACUUCUGUAACACCAUUUCUCUUGUCAGACACUCAGCUGCUAUUCCCAGAUGUUCUUAUUUGUAUGAGGGGAAAAAGAAAGAUUUUUUACCCCCUGCCUAUGAAAAUCUGGUUGGUAGAAGACCCUGAGAGCAGUAGUCCUUCAGAAAGCAGAAGAUGGAUUUCUUUGAAGUCCAGCAGCUUCAUUAGGAUGAAAGCUAGUUUUAUGUGAGACUGAACUCAACCUACCAGGGGUAGAAUCUUAGUGCUAAUCAAACUGUUCUUCUUGGCUUGAUUACAGAGCGAGCUGAAAAAUAUUUCAUUGUUCAAUGUACGGCUCCAAGAACAAUGAUGUACAAAUUAGUGGCAUCCAAUCACUAAGAAAAGCUUAUCAUCAUACCAGGCUCUCUGACAUUACUUUUCCUGACCAUUUUCCUUUUAGGUUAGAAAGUAGAAUAAGAUUGAGUCUCAGAAAGAGAAGUUUGGUGGAUGUGACACCCAUUUCUCAAAAGGAAAAUAAAAAGGGGGUUAUUUUUCAAUAGGAAAAAAUAUUGUAUUUAAAACAUAUUUGUGGGGCCGGUGCCAUGGUUCAAUUGGUUAAUCCUCCGCCUUGUGGCGCUGGCAUCCCAUAUAGGCUCCGAGUUCUAGUCCCGGUUGCU